GUAAUUCCCCUUCACCUUCUUUGGUCGCAUUAGGGUUUGGCCAUGGCUCGUGGUCCCGGCUCAAGAACCACUAGUGCCAGGAUUAAUGGGUGCCUAAUGAAUCUGAAUCUGAAUAUGAGCAUUGUCCUGACCUGCAAUUCCACUUGGUGGUGUAUAUGAGUUAAGAGGCAGAUGACAUCAUGUCAUGAAUGAUCCUAAAUGGCCCAAUGACAACCUUGAAGCUGAGUAUAGAAUUUUUUUGAGUUGUCGCUUGCUUUUCGUUGCCGACUGGCUGGAAAUACAAACGGGAGUAUGCCAGUUCCGUAUUAUUGUAUGUUAUGGUAUAUCAGUGAUAAUAUGUUGCAGUUUGGUAAUUACUAGUAAGAAAGUGAAUAAACAUGUGUAGACUUCUUGAAGUUCCUCUUAAAAAGUCAGUAUGUUCCUUAAUGGAGUCAGGGGGG
rnacentral:lncRNA from 1 species